UUCGCUACCGCGGCACCGAAAAUAACAACAAGAAUACUAAUAAUAGUAUACAGGGUGUAUCUGCGGGAUUUUACGAUUUCUCAUUCAAUUUACAUUGGAAAUCCUGCACUCUGUAUAAAACCGCUCAGAGUUCAGGUAUGGUGUUAUUAUGGCGACCGUUGAACGAGAACGAUAGAUGGAAACACGCCAUAUGUGCGACCGGCGACGAUCAUUAACCCAGUAUACCUACUUACACCAGCUGAUGGGGCAUUACGUUUCUCGCGGAUUUGCCGCCAUUCG